rnacentral:rRNA from 1 species
UACGUAGGGUGCGAGCGUUGUCCGGAAUUAUUGGGCGUAAAGGGCUCGUAGGCGGUGUGUCACGUCGGCCGUGAAAACCUGCAGCUUAACUGUGGGCGUGCGGUCGAUACGGGCAUCACUGGAGUUCGGCAGGGGAGACUGGAAUUCCUGGUGUAGCGGUGAAAUGCGCAGAUAUCAGGAGGAACACCGAUGGCGAAGGCAGGUCUCUGGGCCACUACUGACGCUGAGAAGCGAAAGCAUGGGGAGCGAACAGG